rnacentral:lncRNA from 1 species
CCGCCCCAAAUCCUGCCCAGGGACCCGCGCAGCUUCAUGGGGGUCAUCGGUCAGUGCGACCCCUCCCCAAAUUCACCUGAUACCCCUAACCCAUCCCCUGGGACCCUAUAACCACCUGGGACCCCCAAAUCCUCUCCAAAUCCCCUCCCGAACCCCCCAAAACUGCCCAGACCCCUCCCCAAAUUCAUCCCAAAUCCAGAGGGGGAAAAAGAGGGGCUGGGAAGGCGAUUUGGGGGCGGAUUUUGGGUGGAGUUUUGGGGGAAUUUGGGGGAAUUUCGAGAUUUUGGGGAUUUUGUGGGGAUCUCAGGACCCCCCGGGAUCCCUCCCCAGACCAGGCCACCCUGGAGGAAGCUUCCAGCAAUUUCCGCCGGACGCUGAACAGGGUCAUGACCCAGGACCUGCAAGAUGGGCAGAUUCACCAGGAGCUGCUCUGGGCCAUGAGAGAGAUCAAGGAGGACUUCGAGCGGCUCAUGAAGCGUUUCCAGAGCCAGGUUUAUUGCCCCAAUAAAUGCGGGCGGAUGGAGGUGCUGUGGAUCGAGUGCAUCUUCUGCAACCUGACCCGCUUCG